GAUGAACGCUGGCGGCGUGCCUAAUACAUGCAAGUCGAGCGAACGGACGAGAAGCUUGCUUCUCUGAGGUUAGCGGCGGACGGGUGAGUAACACGUGGAUAACCUACCUAUAAGACUGGGAGAACUUCGGGAAACCGGAGCUAAUACCGGAUAAUAUUUUGAACCGCAUGGUUCAAAAGUGAAAGACGGUCUUGCUGUCACUUAUAGAUGGAUCCGCGCUGCAUUAGCUAGUUGGUAAGGUAACGGCUUACCAAGGCAACGAUGCAUAGCCGACCUGAGAGGGUGAUCGGCCACACUGGAACUGAGACACGGUCCAGACUCCUACGGGAGGCAGCAGUAGGGAAUCUUCCGCAAUGGGCGAAAGCCUGACGGAGCAACGCCGCGUGAGUGAUGAAGGUCUUCGGAUCGUAAAACUCUGUUAUUAGGGAAGAACAUAUGUGUAAGUAACUGUGCACAUCUUGACGGUACCUAAUCAGAAAGCCACGGCUAACUACGUG
rnacentral:rRNA from 1 species